GCAACAUGGAAAAGCUGGUCAAUUAGUUGAAAAAUACCCAUAUGAGAUGAUCCAACAGUGAACUUUCUUUCUUUUCUUUUUUUUUUUUUUUGAGAUGGAGUCUCCCUUUAUUGCCCAGGCUGGACUGCAGUGGCGUGAUCUCGGCUCACUGCAAGCUCCGCCUCCCGGAUUCAAGCGAUUCUUCUGCCUCAGCCUGCGAUUCUUCUGCCUCAGCCUCCCGAGUAGCUGGGACUACAGGCACGUGCUACCACACCUGGCUAAGUUUUUGUAUUUUUAGUAGAGAUGGGGUUUCACCAGAUUAGCCAGGAUGGUCUCCAGCUCCUGACCUCGUGAACCGCCCGCCUUCGUCUUACAAAGUGCUGGGAUUACAGGUGCGACAAGAUAAUGAACCUCCAUUCCUCUGAGAGAAGAGUAUUUUGAAUAUUCGACUUUGCCCAUGAAUUUCCCUUUCCAUGUCUUGCUCUGUUGCCCAGGUUGGAGUAAAAUGGUACAAUCACAGUUCACUGCAGCCUCGACCUCUCCAGUUCAAGUGAUCCUCCUGACUCUGCCUUCUGAGUGGCUGAGACUAUAGGCAUGCAUCAUUAUGCCUGGCUUUUUAAAAAACUUUUUGUAAAGAUGGGGUCUCCCUAUGUUGCCCAGGCUGAUCUUGAACACCUGGGCUCAAGGGAUCCUCCUGCCUUGGCAUCCCAAAGUAUUGAGAUUACAGGCAUGAGCCACCAUGCCUGGUCCUAACAUCAUUUUUUGGAUACUGCGCUUACUUCCUAAGAUCAAGAACAAGGUAGAAUGAUCUGAAAUUCUGAAUCCAUCAUGC
rnacentral:lncRNA from 10 species